AUCUUGAAUAUAGUUCCCUCUACUAUACAUGAACUAGCUGGGACAAAUUCUCUUGCCGAAAGUGGAGCUGCAAAGGCACAAGAGAGCAAGUGGAAAUGCACAGGUGCUUUUCCAGCCCCUGCUUGUUCAUGUCUGUUAACGUUCCAUUGGCCAAGGGACAUCUCUUCUCCACAUGGAAUGAGUAAGGUGAAGAGGAAUAGGAGAAUGAAUGCAACUUGGUAAGGGAAGAUGGAAACCCAAGAUGAAAUGAUGAUAGAAUGUGGAAGAAUCCAGAGCUGCUCCAAAGUCACUCAUCCAAGAGCUCUGAGAAUGCCCAUGUACAGAGAGUAUUUCAUCAUUGGUUAGACAUUUAUGAGGUUUUUCAUGGUGUUCUUUUGGACAAGAUUGGGAAAUAUGAACUGGACUCUGGCAUACUUGAUGAAUUAGUAACCAGUUGAUUAUAUGCACAAGGUGCUGACUAACACAUUGAUAUCAAACUGUGAGGUAUAUAAUGAUGAGUAAGGAAGUAUAUAAGGAAGCAUAUAAUGAUGAGUCCUAGGGCUGUGUCCAUUUUUCCAUCAUAAAUGCUUUCAGAAUAGAAAUACAUAAGGUGUGCUCAUUAAAUUUAUAGGUAACCUGAAGUUGGAGAUAUAAUGAAUACUUACUUGGAUGACAGAAUCAGAAUCAGUGAGCUGAAUCUAAAAGGAUGAGAUUUGAAAAUUAUUAAUAGGAGGUGUGAGGAACUAAUUAUAUCAGUAAGAAUGGGUUAUACUUGCUUUAGCAGAAACUAAGAACCUUGGCCCAAUUUGAACCAGAAGUGUAAUGUGGUUGCCAAAAACCCUCAAGAUUUUAGGCUGUAUCCAAUGGGAUAGUGGUAAAAUGUUUAAAAAUUGGCUCUCUGCAGGGAAAAAAACCCUUAAUGUAUAGCACUUUACAAUUUCUAUUGUGUAAAUGCUCCCACCAUGGCCAAUUUCAAGCUACCAACAUGAUGUCACUAAACAUAAUUUGGAAAAGAUUUGCAGUGGCACAACAGCACAUAGCAGUAUUUCCAUCACACAAAUACAAUUAAUGUAAAUAACCUUAAGAGAGUAGAUAAUAGAGAUAUAUAGUAAAAUAAUUAG